rnacentral:lncRNA from 1 species
CGGGACAUCGCGGCGCAGGAGAAGCUCACGGCCCCCUUCGACUUCCCGCGCUUCCUCGACCUCAUGCGCGCCCACCUCAGGCCCGAGCCCUUCGACCGCCCGCUCCGCGACGCCUUCCGCGUCCUCGACAAGGACGCCUCGGGCACCGUCUCCGUCGCCGACCUCCGCCACGUCCUCACAUCCAUCGGCGAGAAGCUCGAGCCCCACGAGUUCGACGAGUGGAUCCGCGAGGUCGACGUCGCGCCCGACGGCACCAUCCGCUACGACGACUUCAUCCGCCGCAUCGUCGCCAAAUGAUUCCCCGGUCCCACUGCCCCCGCGCGCGCUUCGUGUGUAAUGACCUCGUCUCCCGUGUCCCG